CUUGUUGUAUUCAAAACCUGCUGAUAGUUCAUGAUGACCUGAUGCCAGUGUCCCAGUGAUAGAGGAACUAACUAUUUCCUUGUGUAAACAGCUAAACACACUGGACUAUGCGAUGAUACAUGUAACAACGUUAUGAUGGUCUGUUAGUACUUGUAUUUGAAGCAGUUGCUUUAGAAGACGAGCUCGACAGUUUUGGACUGUAGUUUGCAGUUGACUUCACAAUUCAACCAUCAUCAAAUCAUGGCCGAUGGACAACUUCAUCAGGGACACAUUGAUCCGCGCUUAGUGGAUAUUGUUGAUGAAGAAUGGGCUAAGGACUCGUUGCCAAAAGAUGAAAUACCCACGCCUGAAAUUGAUCUUCCCAUCGAAAUAGAAAGUCAUGCCAUAAUUCCGGGUCCAUCUCAACGUGAGUUGGAGCGCGAAUGGAGUGAGAAAACUAGACCACUUCAGAACUUCCGGUGAUAGCUGCACUAGUAUUUCUAGGUGUGGAGUGCCUGUACAUAAAGCUGUAACAUACUGUACAAGUUGUUUUUGUAUCUCCAUUACUGAGUUUGUAUAAAUUGUUGUAUGUGUUGUCCAUUUGUAUACAUAUGUACAGUGUACAUUACGUUGCUUGAGUCGCAUUUUUAGUGGCUUUGAUUUUUUACAUUUGUAAUCAUGCUGGCUGUUGUUCCCUUCUAUGUUGUGCAUUGUUGAUGUCUUCGAAAAAUUAGUUUUGGCUGAUGUGCAGCAUCUGUGGAAGUUUUUCCAAUACACCGUGUUUUUUGGCCUGGAUUAGUCGGGCUUGCAAAAGUAAAUCUACGGUAUCUUGA